GGUGACUAGUGAGGGAGGGUGUGACUAGUGACAGAGUGAGGGAGAGGUGACUAGUGAGGGAGGGUGUGACUAGUGACAGAAUGAGGGAGAUGGUGACUAGUGACAGAGGGAGGGAGAUGGUGACUAGUGACAGAGUGAGGGAGGUGGUGACUGUCACCCCAUCCCUCCCUCUGUCACUAGUCACUCCCUCCCUAACUCUGUCACUAGUCAUCCCCUCACUUUGUCACUAGUCACCCCCUCCCUCCCUCUGUCACUAGUCAUACCCUCCCUCACUCUGUCACCAGUCAUACCCUCCCUCACUCUGUCACUAGUCACCUUCUCCCUCACU